rnacentral:ncRNA from 2 species
UCAGCUUGUACUAGGGGUCUUUACCUAGGUAGGCUAUCACGGGUAACGGGCGGUUACCGUCGGACUGCCGGAGAAGGCGCCUGAGAGAUAGCGACUAUAUCCACGGGUAGCAGCAGGCGCGAAACUUUCCCACUCGAGACUUUCGGAGGAGGUAAUGACCAGUUCCAUUGGUGCCUUUUGGUACUGUGGAUAGGGGUACGGUUUUCCACCGUACCGAAACCUAGCAGAGGGCCAGUCUGGUGCCAGCAGCUGCGGUAAUUCCAGCUCUGCGAGUUUGCUCCCAUAUUGUUGCAGUUAAAACGCCCGUAGUCUGAAUUGGCCAGCAAUGGUCGUACGUAUUUUUACGUUCACUGUGAACAAAUCAGGACGCUUAGAGUAUGGCCACAUGAAUGACUCAGCGCAGUAUGAAGUCUUUGUUUUCUUCCGAAAACAAGCUCAAUGAGAGCCAUCGGGGGUAGAUCUAUCUCAUGACGAGUGGUGGAAUACUUUGACUCAUGAGAGAGAAGCUGAGGCGAAGGCGUCUACCUAGAGGGUUUCUGUCGAUCAAGGGCGAGAGUAGGAGUAUCCAACAGGAUUAGAGACCCUGGUAGUUCCUACCUUAAACGAUGCCGACAGGAGUUUGUCAUUUGUUAAUGGCAGAAUCUUUGGAGAAAUCAUAGUUCUUGGGCUCUGGGGGAACUACGACCGCAAGGCUGAAACUUGAAGGAAUUGACGGAAGGGCACACCAGGGGUGGAGCCUGUGGCUUAAUUUGAAUCAACACGGGGAAACUUACCAGGACCAGAUGUUUUUUAUGACUGACAGGCUUCGGGUCUUUCAGGAUAUUGUUUUUGGUGGUGCAUGGCCGUUGGUGGUGCGUGGGUUGACCUGUCUAGCGUUGAUUCAGCUAACGAGCGAGAUUAUCGCCAAUUAUUUACUUUGCCGAAGUCCUUCG